GGAAGUUACGUUGAGAUGGAAAAUAAUCCGAAAACAAGACAAAUAAUGUAACAAUGAAAGAUUAAAUAUGCAGACAAGAAUGUUUGCUUGUCAGGCCUUAACGAUUUUUUUCCGAUACAAAAUUCAGUUGUUUUGUGGAGAUAAAACUCUACUAAGUCUACUAACUAAGAUCAUAAUCAAACAAAUUUUGUCGAAAUUAAAGGCUGUAUCCAAUAAGUUUCUAUAGCUUCAGAUCUUAUCAGAGGUUCGUUGAUCUGUUGAGCUUCAGAUCGAAGAAAAUAUGUGGAGAGCAAGCUUCCAUGAGGCAUAUACAUACAUAUAUGUACAUAAUAGCAGUGGCCUCAAAGUAAUCAAAAGUAUUUCUGCUCGAUUAGUUGCCAGUACUAUUUCGACCCUCUAACUGGAUUGAAUAGCUCGGAAUAUGUUAAUGGUGUCAAUGAUCUGGCAUUUACUCUUUUUGUGAGCUUGCAGUGUUUUUUUAGAUCAAAAAUUAAUAUUUAAUAAUAAUUUACUUAAAUUAAAAUCCGCGCUUAUAUCAAAGAAACAUUUCGUCGAAAUGAUGGUGUUAAUUUCAUAAAUAUUUUCAUACGUAUGUAUAUACACAUCUGUAGUUACGUGUGUGCACAUUUGUAUUGAUAUCAUAUAAAAUGUGAAAAUUAUAAGUCGUGGAAAAAAUUCAUUUGGAUAUACUAUGUAUAUGCAUUUAUAUAUUGCUACAAAUACAUGGAUACAUACACAAUCUACCACCUUUCUACAACAUUUUUGAUAUAUCGUACAAAUAUAUAUAUAACACUGAUUAAAAUAUUAUGCUUGUUUUAUUUUUGGCUCAUAAGUUAAUAUAUUUCGAAAUAAAUGUUUGUACAUAUAAAUCCAUAUACAUAUGUACAUAUAUAAAUAUAACAAACAUGUGUAUAUAACCAUGCAUAUAAAUCUCUGCAAAACCGGAAUUUAAAAUUCGUAUUGCUGUAAAUUCAGUAUACAUACAUACAUAGGUAUAAAAUCUGUGUAUUCACGAAUGAGAUUCCAUGUGUGCUUAUGGGCCAUGUCGUUAGUGUAUGUGUUACGAUCGUUGUUUUUAAUUGCAACGCGUUCUGUUCAUAAGUCAUCAACAUGACAAAUUGAUUAACGCUGUUUGUUUUUGUUUUAAUUAUUAACCGAAAAAAAUUUUACCGUUUUAUGUUUUAAAUACAACAAAGUUUAAUAGUGUGUGGCACAAGCAGUGAUAGUUUUUGUGUACCAUAAUAGCAAUUUUCAUUUUGACAACCGAAUAUAAAUAUACAUAAAUGUGUGUAUAUAACAACUGAAAAGAUUUUAAAAUAAUACUGCAGAAAGCAAAAGUGAUUUCUUUGAUUUUUCUUUCGUUUUUAUUUACAAAAUUAUAUACAUACAUAUGUACAUAUACACGAAUUCAACUAACUAAUGCGAAACAUAUGUAUAGGCAUAAUAAAAAAUACAAAAUAAAAUACCAGUACAGACAGAAAUCAUAUUACUCUGAAACUGUAUGUAUAUUCGUCUGUAAAUGUAUUCUGGAAUUGCCGUAAUGAUUACAUAUUUUAUAUAAUUACAUAUAAAAUUCUUCAUAGAAAUUUAUGGAGCUAGCAAACUUUGAAAUGACAACAAAAAACUUCACUCAUCAUACUUAUUACUCAUUAGUGGGAAAAAUAUUUACACGAAGGAACCCUUUUGAAGUUGCAAUUUUGCGGUAAUGACUUUCAGCAAAAAAGGAAAACAUGCAAAGAAUCAAUACAUUAAUGAAAUUUAUAGUUCGUGUUUACGAGGGAUGGCCUUAGCAUUAAAAAUUAGAAAAGUUUAUCAACCGCUAACCUACUUUUCACUUUCUAUAUUAAUGCAAAGAAAAACAACGGUGUUGCGGAUUUGGACAAUCAGCAUACUCUUUGCUGUCAUUUGUCCAUUACAUAUAGUUCAUUGCACCGAUCCCAAAUUUGAUUCAUUAACACGAAUGCGACUUGUUUUAGUACCGGCGGAUGCCCAAGUUGGAGCUGUGAUUUAUCGAAUACGUGCGACCGACGAAGAGUUUGACUAUCCACUUACCUUUGAACUUAUAGGCAAUUCUGCAUCAGCCUCUGUUAAGAUUGAUUCGCUUCCAUGCACCAAAUACAAUUCCGUUUGCCAAGCAAAUGUUGUGUUACAGCGACGUUUAGAACCGGGGCGGUACUAUGACUUCCAGGUAUCGGUAAAGGACACAAAAGGGGGUAUGACUAGCCAAUUGUGUUCUAUUACUGCUACCAAUUUCACAACACCACACGACCUCAUAUUUCCCCACAAGCCGGGGAUAAUAAUGAUUCCAGAGGAUGCAAAGCGUGGAACAGAAUUGGAUUAUGUAAUUGCUCGCAAAAAUCCACUUUUCCAAAAACCAGUUUACCUUGAGUUAUGGGGCUCUCAACUUUUUGCCAUAAGACAAAAGAUUGUUUCAGCAGAAACAACAGAAGGUACAGUGUUUUUGCUAGGUCCACUUGACUUCGAAAAACAAGCUAUGUACCAUUUAACUAUAUUGGCUAACGAUGCUUACGCUGAGCCCGGUCAAGACAACCGCAACAUAGCUGGACUCGAACUAGUAGUGAUUGUUCAAGACGUACAAGAUCAGCCACCUGUAUUUACAUCAGCAUCACCUGUGACUAAGUUAUCAGCUGGUAUUAUUCCGGGCGAUAAGAUACUGCAAGUACAUGCCGAAGAUGGUGACAAAGGAAGUCCCCGUGAAGUGCGAUACGGUCUUGUUUCCGAAGGAAAUCCAUUUACUUCCUUUUUUGAUAUUAACGAUACAAGUGGUGAAAUAUUCUUGAUGCGGCCACUGGAGGAAAUCGCAGCUCUCACUCAUGUUGGAGAUCCUGUUUUACUCACCGUGAUUGCUGAAGAAGUUAAAGUUGGACGUGACGAGCCCCCAGCUAUGGCUUCAACAGUACAAUUGGCUUUAUUUUUACCAGAACGGACCAAUUCUGCACCUUAUUUCGAGAACGAUCACUACGUUUCAAGAAUUGAUGAAAAUUCCCCACAAGGUACUGCGCUUACAUUUGCCGACCCAUAUGUGUCACGUGUUUAUGACGAUGAUAUCGGCAAAAAUGGAGUUUUUUCAUUGACUUUACUCAAUAAUAACGGAACGUUUGAGAUUUCUCCGAAUGUUGCUGAACGGAGUACUUCAUUUCUCAUACGCGUACGAGAUAAUAUUCUCUUAGAUUAUGAAGAACGUCAUUUUGUGCAAUUUCAAAUAUUAGCUCAAGAAUUAGGACCAACUACAAAUCUUUCAACUACCGUCAACGUAACUGUAUACAUAAAUGAUGUUAACGACAAUCCGCCCAUAUUUGAACAGUCUAUGUAUACCGUUGAGCUGCCAGAAAAUAUGACUGUAGGAACGAAAGUUAUCCAAGUUAAAGCCACCGAUGUAGACACAGCCGAUUUAAGUGGGCAUAUACGAUACACAGCUAUUUUGGGCUAUUUAAACACCUCAUUAAAUUUAAACGCAGACUCAGGACUAAUUACAGUUUCCACUGACAAUCACGGGUUUGAUCGUGAAAUAAUGCCCGAAUAUCAUUUAUACGUAGAAGCACGGGACAAUGAUGGUACAGGUAAUCGUGCUCAAGUGCCAUUAAUUAUAAAAAUUAUAGAUGUCAAUGAUGAAACUCCAAUUUUUGAGAAAGAGGUGUACGAAUUUAUACUAUCUCCAAACUUGAAAUCCUUCACCUCUGUAGCCAUUAUACACGCCAUAGAUAAGGAUGCAACAUCACCUAACAACGAAGUGCGAUAUGAAAUAGUUAACGGAAACUACGAAAAUAGAUUCACUUUGAAUAAAAUAACUGGUGAACUAACUGUGCGAGAGAGGAUUACAUUACCCAUCAAAGCACGAAAAAAGCGUCAAAUAUUAUCUCACAUUGAUGAGGACAUUUUUUUUCUAACAGCGCGAGCGUAUGAUUUAGGAGUACCUGUGCGCUUUAGCACCACAAACAUUCGUAUAUAUCCACCCGAAAGUCGAACAGGUACUGUGACUUUCGUAGUGCCAGGUGAAAGUCCUGAUAAAGUUAAAACAGAAGAAACACUUUCUACCAUAACGGGAGGAAAAGUAAUAAUACAUGAUAUUAGACCUUUACAACCAGACGAACCCGGUGCAAACACAAUUACAGGAGGCAACACGGAUACAAUGCGAAGAAGUGUCGUAACAGCUACCGUUCUUUAUGAUAGCACUUCGGUUGUAGAUAUAUCGCAGAUACAGCAACGUUUAUCGCAACACAAUAGUUCAUAUGCGAUAAUGAAUGGUAGCGACACAGUAGCGACAGACACUCUAUACAAAGCCGAAAAUAAAUUGCUGUUCUGGCUGCUCAUAUUUUUAGCAACUUUAGUCGCAUUGACAAUUUUAAUACUUUUGUUAUGUUGCAUUUGUUCAUGGUGCCCAUUACAUGGAACUGCAAGGUCGCUGAAUGGAUGGGACGUCGAGAGGCCUGGUCAGCCGAGAAGCCAACAGAUUCGCGAACGAAACCAACACGCUGGGAGUUCCACAAUGGACGUGAGCAGUUUAACGAAAACGUCGUUAAGGCAGCAGUAAACAGCAAUGAAGGAAACCGUCGUAAGCGUUCAGCAGAAGAGCAACGAAGGCAUGUGAAUAUAAAGAACAACCGCACAUCCAAAGAUGCUGUAUUUCAUAAUUCUAGAACCAACUUAAUAAAUGAUAAAGACGUUUACAUAGAGGAUAUAGGAGAUGAAAAGCAACUAACAACAACAGAACCAGAUCACUUUCAGCGAAACAGAGAAAUCCCAAAAACAGGAAAACAUCAGCAAGGAAUUGACAACGAAAUCAAACAUAUUGAUGAAAAUUCUGUGCGUCGCCAUGAAAUUGCACGCGGCAGUGAUAUCGAAUACAACAUAGGUCGAAGCAGUUUAAGAAAUAAACGGGAAUUCUUCAUGAAGGAGGGAAAUAUUGAAAUACUGCAACUUAUGACUAGAGACAGAAUUGGCGAGGAUUUUGCAGUAGUGGAUGAUGAAAAUAACAUAUAUGUAAAUUUGCCUAUGAAAUCAGCGACUGUGUCUCAGCCUCAAUUGGUAAUGUUGGAUAAUAGUGGAAAAGAAAUUCUAAUGCGCCGUUUUAUUGAAGAACAGCCUGAUGGUAAACAGAUAAUACGUGAGCAUUAUCAAAUAGUUCCUGGUGCCACUUAUAUACAGUCUAUGCCCAAUGAAAUUGAGCUCCGCUCCACUUUGAAGAGAGAUACGUUCGCUACCUGCAAAUCGGGUCCGAAUAGUAUAGUCUAUUCACAAACCGAGCCUGAAGUAAAGGUGAUACAUACACUGCCUACUCAAGGCGAAAUGCAGUUUCAAACGGAAGGUUUCAUAAGUCACAUCCAGCCAUCAAUAUCAAAUCAAUCAUUAACACAAGAGCUUGAAUAUUCUCUAAAGCAACAAAAUAUACUACUGCGCCAAAUAUUGAUGGAAAAAGAAAAAAUAGAAGCCCAAGGUGCACAGCCAGAAAUUGUAUUAGAAACACAAAGCCUUCCAGGUCACUCUGUGGCGAUUGCAACCCAAACGGAAUGUGAGGUUUGUACACAGACAGACAAUAAUGUUGAAUUUCCUGAGAAAACGUCUAUAUAUGUGCAAGGAAAGACAACUCGACGCAAAUGUCGCAGUGAAAAUGAUGAUUCCUUGACAGAAGAUGAAUAUGAGUAUGUACGAUACAGCCCUCCAGAAAGUACAGAAGGUCGGUUCUGGAUAAAACGUAAACAACAAAAAAGGCGCAGUAAAUAUCGCAAUUGUAUACAACCAAGAAAUAGAAUUGUUAUGGUAGAAGAAAUUAAAAGAAAAAUACGUACGCCCAUUAAAGAGGAAGAUGAUGAGGUAUUCGAACCGAGUAAGCGUAUUCCACCCAAAAAACCCCUACGGAAACAUGCUGAAAUAAAUAGCAGUGUGCUUAGACGUAAGAACAACAUAGAAAAGCAGAACAAUAGUAAUUCUAUGCAACGAAAAAAUCCCACAGUGAGUCCAGAAACUUUAUUAGAAAUGUCUGACUCAUUAGAUGAUAGAAGUAAAAGUCCAGAUCAUUAUCGAACAAUGAGAGUUGAUGAAUUCGAAUACUAUUCAACAGGCAACAACGGAGACGAUGACUGCGACUAUGAUAAUGAGAAUAAUUUUUCGAAAGAUUCUGAAACUGAAGAAAUUAUUGUUAAAAAAAACGUGUUAACACCGCACCAUUUGAGACAAAACCAUUCCGACAUAGAUAUUAAUGAUAAAAUUUUCUAUAAAAUACAAUUAAAAGACGAGCGAUGUACUCAUAAAAUACCGGAAGCUAACGCCAGAGACACUCAUAGGCCAACGUCAAAAAAACGGGGUCGGUCGCAAAGUUCAUCAGAAAUAUCACACAAUCGAUUGGAUAAUGAAAAACAUACAUCUUCACUGACUAAGACAUAUCAUGCAGCUAAAGAGCGUGCAUAUCAAAGUGCAACCAACUUGUAUCAUGAAGACCGAUACAAUGACGGAAACAUUACUGAGAAAUCCGUGCCAAAAUACAUGGAAUGGUACUAUGGCAAACCAAAAAAUAUAAAUACCAAACCUAGGUCCGAUAAUUUAAAGUCAAUGACAGUUUCAAAAAGAAAAAAAUGUGUAACGAAAACACGCUUAAGCUCGAAUGCCGAUUCUAUUCCUUCUGAAGAUGGAAAAAGUAGACCUGAACCUGCACCGAGGAAAUCCCCCCUAAAAAAUAGCAUACUCCUGAAAGAAGAUAUUGUAAUAAAUAAGCAGUAUAAUCCUAAAAUUGAGAUUGAUGCUAGCCACCCACUUUUACAACAUUCAGAGCACAGAUUUGAGCGCGAAAAUGCUCCGGAGGUCCCUUUACCACCAACAAAAUUGCCACAUUACAUGUAUCCCGAGACUACACCAUUUGUUGUAACUAAGGUGGCGAAAGGUAAUAAUAUAAAAGGUAAACCUAAACCGUCGCCUAUUAGAGAGAAUGAAGUCAAAGUGACAAACUCGAAAAUUAGCCUAAAAGUGGAAAAUCCAAAUUCAGCCCACCCGACUCCAAAAAGUAAUACGCACCAACACUCUCAAAAACAACUUAAUGUAUCUACUUUAGAAGAUGAUCACGAUUCUGGAAUUGCAAUGAAUUCUUUUCUAAAUAAUAUGGGUCGAAGAAAUCCAAUCGCUGAUAAGAAAAGUGUAUUUUCAAUCGCAUAUGAUGAUGUUAGCCGAGUAAAGAAAAUUGCAUCGGGAGAAGAAUCAGCACAAUAUUCAUAGGAUCUCGGAUGACCUCAAAAAUGUCUAUGGUACACAAGUAUUUAUGUAGUUAAAUUAAAAUAAGUCCAUUACUACUAUAUAUGUGAUACUGUCCUUUUUCAUUUCACGUACGCUAUAGUUAAAAUGUAAAGAAAUUACCAUUUACAUAUUGUUAAACUCUUUAAUGUAUGAUGUUGAAAUUUUAAAAUACAAAUAAUGUUUUGUUUUUAUGUUACCUACUUGUUAAUGAGUUUAAAUUUUUUACGUUCCUAUAUUCAAUGAAAAUGGUCUGGCAAAAUUAGAACAAACCCAAAAUUAAUGAAUUAAAUUUAAUACUCAUAUGCAAAUUAAAAUAUGUAUAUACAUAUAAUACUUGUAUGUAUUAAAUAAGAAAGAUUACAAAUAUAUGCAUUUGCAGACAUACUCUCGAUACUUAUUGUAAAUAGUAAAAACUGCAAUAUGAUUAUAGAUAUAACUUUUAUAAAUUAUGAUUGAAAAAGUUUCAUUUUGAAGACAAUAUAAUUAUUGCAAAUUAACAUUUUGUACUAUUUCUAAGCAAAUAUACAUAUAUAGGCUGCGACUAUAACAAUAAAGCAAUCCGAGAAGACGUUAUAAACGCAUUUACAUAGUACUUAUAUGAUCAGUAUUUACGGAAAUCAGUUGUAUACUUUGAAAUUUAAAAAAUAUGAAGAUUAAGUUAAGCUACAUAUGGGUCAUUGCAUCAAAAACUUACAUUCAAAAAGUUUUUUCGUACAAAAUAUUUUUUUUGUGUUCUUUGUGGCAAAAUAUUGGACACCUAUUUUUUUAUUUCGACUUUGUUUUAUUAAAAAAACUGAAUAAAUAUAGUUCCAAAUUGAAAAAUCAAAUUCUUUGUUUAUAAAAAUGUACGUACGUAGUUGAAAAAAAUACCUAGUAUAUCUUAUUGGAAAGCUGAAAAAACCGUAAAAAAUACGCCGGUUAGUUAUUUGUAUAAUGAAAUACUUUUUUUCGUGUAGCCUAAUAUUUAAAGUUACUUUUUUCAAACAUUGAAAUUUUAAGAAUUCAUAACUUUUUUUGUAAGAAAUAAAAUGUUUAUGUAAAUUUUGGAAGGAAUGACCCAUAUACUUAGAUUAUCGAUACAAAUAUACACAUAAUAUGUAAAAGUUUGUAUACUAGUUUUAAGCCAUCAUAUCAAUUAUUGUUUCAAUAAUAUUUAUAAUAUAUAAUGCAUGUAUUCUCAUAUUUACACUUUCAUAUUAUUUCAUAAACAAUAUGUUAGGUGUGCUCUAUUUGACCAGCAAGUUAAGCUAUGAGCUUAUAUUGUAUGGAAGACUUAGCCAACAUAUUUAUAUUCGCUUAUCUAAACCUUUGUUAGCUUGUUCUAGAAGUAUUGCCAGUUUAUACUUGUAGUAUUAGUUCAAUUUAUAGUAUUAGUUCAAUUUUUUUUUCUUUAUUUUGACAGAUGAAAAUGUAAGCAAACCAAAAUUACAGAUUUUUGUGGAGGGAUAUUGAGUUAAAAUUAAGACAAAAUAGGAACAUUUAUUUUGAUUUUUUGUGUUCUAGACCUCAAAUGAACAAAAUAUAUUUAUUUGUAUAGUAUAUAAAUAUUUCGUUUAUAAAUUUUAAAAUACAAACUAUCGUCCAUGUCAGACAUUUUGAAAUACAUUGAAUAUCAGCUGACUGUUCUUGUCCUCAUCGCCAACAUAGCUCGUUUUUAAGCGCAAAUAUGAAAUAAGCUAAGUGCAUUUUAUUCGUCAACGAUUUAGCUAUAGCUUAUGGCAGUCAAAUAAAACAUGCCUAUUGAAAGCCUUCUUUUGAAGGUUUGUACGAUUAUAUAUUCUGGUCCCAAGACGCAAUUAAUCGAAUUCGAAAGAGAAAACACCGCCGAUAUUCAAAAAUCUUUUUAUACAUAUCCACAAUGCGUAGUUGAAGAUGCCAUUGUACUUGGCUCUUACGUCUAGUGCAAGUUUAACGAAGUAUGUUGGAUAUAAUCACUUUCAAUAUUAUUUUAAUCAAAUAAAAACUAUUUUAGAGAUAUUUUAAGAAUAAUUUAAAUAUUAAGUGCACAUUUAUCCAACUAAAAGUUAAACGAUAAUUGCCUGUUGCCAACGAUCUGACAGGAAGGUACUCCUUAAUAUUUACAGUAUCAAAAUAUACAAGGUUCUUUAUAUAAAAUAUAAAUCCUGCCAUACCAUCUUGUCAGACGUAUUAACACAAAAAUAAAAAGAAUAUAAAUAAACAUCA